rnacentral:rRNA from 1 species
UUGAACGCUGGCGGCAGGCCUAACACAUGCAAGUCGAACGGUAACAGAAAGAAGCUUGCUUCUUUGCUGACGAGUGGCGGACGGGUGAGUAAUGUCUGGGAAACUGCCUGAUGGAGGGGGAUAACUACUGGAAACGGUAGCUAAUACCGCAUAACGUCGCAAGACCAAAGAGGGGGACCUUCGGGCCUCUUGCCAUCGGAUGUGCCCAGAUGGGAUUAGCUUGUUGGUGGGGUAACGGCUCACCAAGGCGACGAUCCCUAGCUGGUCUGAGAGGAUGACCAGCCACACUGGAACUGAGACACGGUCCAGACUCCUACGGGAGGCAGCAGUGGGGAAUAUUGCACAAUGGGCGCAAGCCUGAUGCAGCCAUGCCGCGUGUAUGAAGAAGGCCUUCGGGUUGUAAAGUACUUUCAGCGGGGAGGAAGGGAGUAAAGUUAAUACCUUUGCUCAUUGACGUUACCCGCAGAAGAAGCACCGGCUAACUCCGUGCCAGCAGCCGCGGUAAUACGGAGGGUGCAAGCGUUAAUCGGAAUUACUGGGCGUAAAGCGCACGCAGGCGGUUUGUUAAGUCAGAUGUGAAAUCCCCGGGCUCAACCUGGGAACUGCAUUCGAAACUGGCAGGCUAGAGUCUUGUAGAGGGGGGUAGAAUUCCAGGUGUAGCGGUGAAAUGCGUAGAGAUCUGGAGGAAUACCGGUGGCGAAGGCGGCCCCCUGGACGAAGACUGACGCUCAGGUGCGAAAGCGUGGGGAGCAAACAGGAUUAGAUACCCUGGUAGUCCACGCCGUAAACGAUGUCGACUUGGAGGUUGUGCCCUUGAGGCGUGGCUUCCGGAGCUAACGCGUUAAGUCGACCGCCUGGGGAGUACGGCCGCAAGGUUAAAACUCAAAUGAAUUGACGGGGGCCCGCACAAGCGGUGGAGCAUGUGGUUUAAUUCGAUGCAACGCGAAGAACCUUACCUGGUCUUGACAUCCACAGAACUUUCCAGAGAUGGAUUGGUGCCUUCGGGAACUGUGAGACAGGUGCUGCAUGGCUGUCGUCAGCUCGUGUUGUGAAAUGUUGGGUUAAGUCCCGCAACGAGCGCAACCCUUAUCCUUUGUUGCCAGCGGUCCGGCCGGGAACUCAAAGGAGACUGCCAGUGAUAAACUGGAGGAAGGUGGGGAUGACGUCAAGUCAUCAUGGCCCUUACGACCAGGGCUACACACGUGCUACAAUGGCGCAUACAAAGAGAAGCGACCUCGCGAGAGCAAGCGGACCUCAUAAAGUGCGUCGUAGUCCGGAUUGGAGUCUGCAACUCGACUCCAUGAAGUCGGAAUCGCUAGUAAUCGUGGAUCAGAAUGCCACGGUGAAUACGUUCCCGGGCCUUGUACACACCGCCCGUCACACCAUGGGAGUGGGUUGCAAAAGAAGUAGGUAGCUUAACCUUCGGGAGGGCGCUUACCACUUUGUGAUUCAUGACUGGGGUG